AUUGAACGCUGGCGGCAGGCCUAACACAUGCAAGUCGAGCGGAUGAAGGGAGCUUGCUCCUGGAUUCAGCGGCGGACGGGUGAGCAAUGCCUAGGAAUCUGCCUGGUAGUGGGGGAUAACGUCCGGAAACGGGCGCUAAUACCGCAUACGUCCUGAGGGAGAAAGUGGGGGAUCUUCGGACCUCACGCUAUCAGAUGAGCCUAGGUCGGAUUAGCUAGUUGGUGGGGUAAAGGCCUACCAAGGCGACGAUCCGUAACUGGUCUGAGAGGAUGAUCAGUCACACUGGAACUGAGACACGGUCCAGACUCCUACGGGAGGCAGCAGUGGGGAAUAUUGGACAAUGGGCGAAAGCCUGAUCCAGCCAUGCCGCGUGUGUGAAGAAGGUCUUCGGAUUGUAAAGCACUUUAAGUUGGGAGGAAGGGCAGUAAGUUAAUACCUUGCUGUUUUGACGUUACCAACAGAAUAAGCACCGGCCAACUUCGUG
rnacentral:rRNA from 1 species